CUGCAUUUCACAGCAUUUGUGAAAAAAGCAUGUUUUAAAUAGAAAAGGCUCUCUUUUAUUCUUCUAAAUCUGGUAACACCUUUCUUUUACAGCUCCAUCGUUUGGUGGAAUAAAAGGAAAUCACUGACUGUGCUUUCUAACUCAUGGGAGAAGGUGCUGCCUAUAUGGGAUCAUAAUAAAUCAAGUACAUUUGACCUACGGAGCUUACCAUGACUGUAAGUGAAUCUCAGAGCCAGGCAUGCAGGAUGUCUGAUGCUGCAGCCCUGACUGAUAACUAAGAAGUCAGAUAUAAAUAAAUCUGGAACAGUUGGGAUUGACUGUUGUUUAGCACUUUCAGACAGACGUUCAGGGCAACUGGCAGGGGCUUUGAAAGCUGUUUCCUAUAUUAGAAUCAUGACAAAAAUAGAAGUGAGGCAGCAUUCCCUUGUCUUCUGCUAAAAUAGAUCUUACUCAAAAACAUUUUACAAGUUUGUCGAGGCAUAACUAGUCCACAGUCAGAUACAGCACAAAAUUAAAAUUGGAAGUCCUAUGUUGAUCUACUACAAAUAAUUACUUAUUGAAUUAAUAAGAGCAAAAAAAUAAAAAAAGGGAAAACAA